UGUGCUCAACUCCUUACCUCUCAUUAGUCAUUUACUAAGUAUAACCUUGGGAAAGCUUAUGGUUAUCAACGCUCAAAACUUUCAUUUGGGGUUCAAGUUCAAUCAUCACCUGCAUUCCAAAAAUCAGCACUUUGCCGACGCCAUUGAAGUUUGCACCGCCACAAUUCGUUUAUUCCCUUUUAACUUUCUGGUUUGGAGUUGCCAAAUGAUAGGAGGAUCUUCGUUAUCUUUGAAAGGCGUGUUGCAUUCUAGUCAGUUUGCAAGCAAUUCAUCAAGAGAGCUUACAUGGAAAAAUUCCAGGUGCAAAAUUAAUAGGGUCGGUACUAGAAAUUCUAGGAUAUAUGCUUCAAUGCAUAGAGAAAUGAAGGAUAUUCGGGUCUUUGUGGUCUCAGACUUGCAUACUGAUUAUGCAGAGAACAUGGCGUGGGUAAAGUGCAUUUCUUCAUCAAGCCACCAGGAUGAUAUUCUUCUUGUUGCGGGUGAUGUGGCUGAGACGUACGAUAGGUUCACCUUGACUAUGUCUAUAUUGACAAAUAAAUUCAAGCAUGUUUUCUAUGUGCCUGGAAAUCAUGAUCUUUGGUGUCGCAAAGAUAAAAAAGACUUUGUUGAUUCACUUGACAAGCUCAAUGCGCUGCUUCGCGCAUGUGGUGAACUUGGAGUGGAAUCAAGGCCUUUGAUCGUAGGUGACUUGGGAAUCAUACCCCUCUUCUCAUGGCAUCAUGAGAGUUUCGAUACAGAGCAGGAUAUAACUGGGGUGAGAGUUCCUUGAAGAUGGUAAAUCAUUCUUAACCUUGUGAACAUUGCUGAAUAUUUUUGCUCUGAUUAUUAAUAGCUUUGGUAAUGUACAAUGUAUGUUACUGUUGGAUUCUGAUACCAAUUUAGUGCUCUAUUUAUUAGGCUAGCUAGGAUAGAUAAUCUUGUGCAUUCCUGUAUGAUGAUAAACCAUCCUAGUGAGACCAACAAGCAAGUAGUUAUCCUCAGUGAUCAUUUGCUCCUAUUUUAUUGGAAAAUCACUUUUAUUUACUCCAUAUUGGAAGAACCUCAUUUAGCUGGAUCUAUUAGAAAGAGAUUAACCUUUAUAUUUGUGGUUUCAACAAAUAUUUCCCUUUGGUUGUGUUUGUGCAUUGAUAAAUAGUUUUAUAGGCAUCGGUAUUUUUCUUUCUCCUUCUCCUCAUGGUUGAUGAUGUAAAUUUCUUUCACAAAUUAAAUUUCCUGAUUUAGGCUUGUGUGAAAAGUCUAAUCAUGCUAGUUCUGCGGACAUCUUUUUUAGGUAUGUAAAGAUUUUCAUGCGUGCAGAUGGCCUGCUGAGCUCUGUGAUAGGGAUGAUUCUCUUGCUUGCCAUUUUGAUGCAAUGAAUGAGAAACAUGCCCAUGCAAUAAAAGAGAUCCAGAGAAAAUGUGAAAAAGUAAUUACAUUUUCCCACUAUGUUCCUAGGCUAGACCUAUGUCCAGAGAAAAGAAUGCUUUACUAUCCAAACCUUCCUAAAAUCAUCGGUUCCAACUUUCUUGAGGCUCGAAUCAGAUCUAUACACGGUGCUGAGGGGAGCAAAGCUGCAUGUCAUGUGUUUGGCCACACCCAUUUUGGCUGGGAUGCUACUCUUGAUGGGAUCAGGUAUGUGCAGGCACCAUUGGCUUAUCCUAGAGAGCAGAAAAGAAAUAUGAAUGGGGGUCUUGGUUGGUUACCAUUGAAUUUGUAUUCUGAUGGAAGAUUCACUGAGAGACAGCAUUUUUACUGGUCAGAUUACUAUUCUGUCAAUCCAAGAACACCAGAUAACAUGGAACUUGCGCCUUGGGUUGCUGCGCUUUACAAAAGAUGAGUGCUGUAAGGUAGCUACCCGUUUCACCAUUCCAUGAUCGAAUGCACAGGCUAUAGGAAUUUCUUAAUGACCAUAGAAAACUUCCGAGUUUGACCGUACAUAGUGGGUUGAAAGUUGUAAGUAGUUAGACACACAAUUAUUUGUACAGUGUUUUCAAUUGAAUCAAACUUGUGCUAUGCUUAGUUGUUUAGUACCAUGUAAAUGUAAUACAGUAAUACUAUACCUUAUUCUUUGAUUUUUUCUUGGAAAUAACUUCUUGUUCAUGAUUGAGUCAUGUCCGGUGAGAAUUGUUAAUCCUAAUAAAAAACCAAAUAUUUUUUUUUUCCCAUUUUAUGCAUUAUGAUUUAUGACUUUAUGAGUGAUUUUUACGGCAUUAAUAUUUUGUUUAAAGAGCAAUUUUAUCUACAGUUUAUAAAUACUUCCUGACUAUUUUUUUUAUACAGAGUACAUUGUAUUGGGUAAUAUCGGAUUGUUUAGAGUGAGGUACCCAAAAUAAAACAACUAUAG